CAGAUUUGAUUCUGGUUUCACUUAUAAGAUUGCCCUUGAUGAUACAUGCUAACCGUAGAUACUCCAGUGAGAAUACAUAGUUGAACAGAAUGUUUAAUAUAUUGUUCACAUAAAGAGCAUUAGAUCUAUUAUAUGCUCCGCUAGCCUCGCGCCACUCCACAACGGUAUUAGCAGUACUCAGUAUUGAAUUUAGAUGCGAAAGCAUGCCCCAGCUAACGGCAUCAAUACAUGGCAAAUGCUGUGCCAGCCGCCGCGAUUACACCUCAAAAUGUAAACUUAUAAAUCACACACCCGUAUCUGCCCCCUACUCAAUGAUUACUACUUAUGACUUGCGGUCGUAUGCACUCAGAAAGAAGCAAUCAAAGAAGUAGCUACGCGAGAAGAAGGCAAAAACCAGGAUUAGAGACCCUGCUAUUCUUCAAUAGUUAACAUUAGGUUAAUAUUAAUAAUGUUUGAAAACCAAAGAUUUUGGCAGUGACUAAGGCCUAUUCAGAGGAAUUUGUUUUAUGAAAUCGAUACUCCGCGAAAAUCUUACUCCACCCUUGUAUCACAGCUUAUAUACCGCCGUCGUCAGCUGAUAUUGAGAAAUAAUAAGCAUCAGCAAAAAGACUAAUUUCUUCACGUCAGGUCAGGGUGUAGCCUAUGGGGGAGAUAGAAUGAAUUACACUUAAUUGCAAUUACCGAAUUCUAACAUGUAACGGUUAGCUAAAGCUGGAUUUGAUAGUAAUUUUAUAUUAUAUAUGAUAAAUUGAUUAUAGCUCUUAGUUAUGCACACACCGCCCGUCAUUUUCCUAAAACCAUAAAGGAAAAAAGUCGUAACAAGGUAGGGCAUCUGGAAAGAUCCCCUGGAUAUG
rnacentral:ncRNA from 1 species